UGGGGAAUUUUGGACAAUGGGCGAAAGCCUGAUCCAGCAAUGCCGCGUGUGUGAAGAAGGCCUUCGGGUUGUAAAGCACUUUUUGUCCGGAAAGAAAUCCUCUGGGUUAAUACCUCGGGGGGAUGACGGUACCGGAAGAAUAAGCACCGGCUAACUACGUGCCAGCAGCCGCGGUAAUACGUAGGGUGCAAGCGUUAAUCGGAAUUACUGGGCGUAAAGCGUGCGCAGGCGGUUUUGUAAGACGGAUGUGAAAUCCCCGGGCUUAACCUGGGGAACUGCAUUCGUGACUGGCAAGGCUAGAGUAUGGCAGAGGGGGGUAGAAUUCCACGUGUGAGCAGUGAAAUGCGUAGAGAUGUGGAGGAAUACCGAUGGCGAAGGCAGCCCCCUGGGCCAAUACUGACGCUCA
rnacentral:rRNA from 1 species